AUUGAACGCUGGCGGCAUGCUUUACACAUGCAAGUCGGACGGUAACAGGCCGCAAGGUGCUGACGAGUGGCGAACGGGUGAGUAAUGCAUCGGAACGUGCCCAGUCGUGGGGGAUAACGCAGCGAAAGCUGCGCUAAUACCGCAUACGAUCUAUGGAUGAAAGCGGGGGACCGUAAGGCCUCGCGCGAUUGGAGCGGCCGAUGUCAGAUUAGGUAGUUGGUGGGGUAAAGGCUCACCAAGCCAACGAUCUGUAGCUGGUCUGAGAGGACGACCAGCCACACUGGGACUGAGACACGGCCCAGACUCCUACGGGAGGCAGCAGUGGGGAAUUUUGGACAAUGGGCGCAAGCCUGAUCCAGCAAUGCCGCGUGCAGGAAGAAGGCCUUCGGGUUGUAAACUGCUUUUGUACGGAACGAAACGGUCCUGGUUAAUACCCGGGGCUAAUGACGGUACCGUAAGAAUAAGCACCGGCUAACUACGUGCCAGCCGCCGCGGUAAGAC
rnacentral:rRNA from 1 species